rnacentral:rRNA from 1 species
UACGGGGGGAGCAAGCGUUGUUCGGAAUCACUGGGCGUAAAGGGCGCGUAGGCGGCCUCAGGUGUCGGAUGUGAAAGCCCGGGGCUCAACCCCGGAGGUGCAUCCGAAACUCUGGGGCUGGAGGUCGGAAGAGGAGGGUGGAAUACCCAGUGUAGAGGUGAAAUUCGUAGAUAUUGGGUGGAACACCGGUGGCGAAAGCGGCUCUCUGGUCCGGACCUGACGCUGAGGCGCGAAAGCGUGGGGAGCAAACAGG